AUCUACUAAGCAAUACUUAGAGAGAUAUUCUAAAAUCUUAAAACAUGGAGCAUCUAUAUGGUGGAGAUGGAUGACAUAUUUUUUGCAUACUUCCAAUGUAGAAGUAGCAAGCAUGAUAUGUGGGGUGUGUGUGUGUGUGUGAUCUUGAUCUUGGGACUAUGACAUAAUUCUCAACUAGGGUCAACAAGGUUUGACCGAACUCAACACAAGUACAAGUAGCGUAUAU
rnacentral:lncRNA from 1 species